AAUAAGAAGUAAAUAAAUUACAUUUAGUUUCGACCUAAAAUCUUGGCUUAAAGCCCUUAUUUU
rnacentral:tRNA from 1 species